GACGAACGCUGGCGGCGUGCUUAACACAUGCAAGUCGAACGCGUGGCGAACGGGUGAGUAACACGUGGGUGAUCUGCCUUGCACGACGGGAUAAGCUUUGGAAAAUGGGUCUAAUACCGGAUAGUGCAAGAUGAGCUCGCGGCUUAUUGGCUUGUGGGUGGGGUAAAGGCUACCAAGUCGCGAUCUGUAGCGGGUCUGAGAGGAUGAUCCGCCACACUGGGACUGAGACACGGCCCAGACUCCUACGGGAGGCAGCAGUGGGGAAUGUUGCACAAUGGGCGCAAGCCUGAUGCAGCCAUGCCGCGUGACUGAAGAAGGCCUUCGGGUUGUAAAGUACUUUUGUUAGGGAGGCGGUACUUAAAGAAUAAGCACCGGCUAACUACGUGCCAGCAGCCGCGGUAAUUC
rnacentral:rRNA from 1 species